CUCAAUUGAAUUGACAUGACUAUUCAUGUUCCCCCUCAUUUGAAAACUGAAACAAACAUUCAUUACUGUUCAUCAUUCUCCACACUCUCAUCCUUCCCAGUAGAGGAACGUUCCAGAGACGAGAGUGAGAGGGAGAGAGAGACAAGGUGGAGAAGACGAGAAGACUACGGGAACUCUAGCAGCCUUAUUUGUGAUAUCCUCCAAAUCCUCAAACUCAGUCGUGCCUCCAGAAAUAGAUAAGUUAAAACAAGCCUCUUCAUUAAUAUCCGCCAUUUCCGGUCAACCUGUUCAAGACUAUAUCAACCAUUAUACAACAUAAACGGUGACACCUAAAUGUAACAAGAAGAUUCAACAAAGCCCAGAAAUCCCACAAACAAUCAAAUUUCUCUUCAAUCUGUCAUAGCCAAGCAAAACCCUUAACCACAAAAGCACCAAACACAAAUUAUUGGAUUAUGAAGUGUGAUUUAAUACUACGGAGUGCUUCAGAAGUUAAAAGUAAAAACUUGAACAAAAAUAUGAAUCAAAGGAAAAAAUUUUAAUCAUGGGCAGAACCAAAAACGUGAAAAUGGAAAAUACGAAGACGAUUAAUUUCAAAUCUGAUUUCUUCCUAACCCUAAAACCCCAAAAUCACCAAACAUGAAUCCAUGGAUUUUGAACCCAAAAAUCACCAAACAUAACAACAUGGAUUUUGAAGGCAAACCCCUUAACCCGAAAAUCACCAAACAUGCUUCAAAAAAAAGGAAGAUAAUUUUAAAAAAAGAAACACACCUUGUUCUUAAUCCUUGAUCUGUGCAAGCGAACAGAAAUGGAAGACGAAAGAAAACUCGAAAUUUCUGCGAUCUCGUCAACGAAUUCAAAUCACCGACGAAUUGGGGUUUGUUAUCCUUCACCACUUAACCAGAACGAAGAGGAAGAAAAUUAGGGCUGAUGGUUGAGAUCCUCCUAUCUCAAUCGGAUGAAGAUGAGUCCAGGGGUUCAAGAUUUGGGGAAGAGUAAGAGGUUGAAGACGAAUGCUUUGCAAUUCUCAAGGUGAUACACAAAGAUGGUAAAAACUUAUGUUAACCACAACAAACUUUUGAAGAAUUGCUAAAAAGUUCUUCCC
rnacentral:lncRNA from 1 species